GACUUCCCGAGGCAGCAGCUUGUGACCAGCAAUGUGCCUGCAUGAGAGCUGCUGUGCAGGAGCUGUGCAAAGAGCACCCUGGCUACACUGGGGAGUGCUUGGGAACUCACUGUGGAAACCAGAAAUGAGUACCAGCCAAGACCUGGAGUGGUGUCUCCACCUCCUUAACUGCCAUCAAGAGGAACUUGGGACAAAGCCCAUGGAACACCUGAACCCUCCCUUCUCACGGGCUGGUGCUGUGGUGGAAAAUUUGUUUUCUGGAUCAGCCCAUGAAAGAGUUUUGGUGACAUUAAGGAAACCCCUCGGAGUGUGGAGAAACAAACGGAAUGCGAAGAUGGGAGAGACCAGAACAGGUUGACACAGAGAGGCAAACAAAAAGCUGGGCUGAAGCUUCUGCUGUUCUUUAUGGACUUGUAGAUUCAUCCCUGAUUCUGCCCCAGACCUGUGUGAGCCCAGGAAAAUCAUCUGUGAUCUGCAGAAUAGUAAUGAUGCUGGUGUUUGGGUGCCCAGACAGGCUGGAGGCAUUAAUGCACAGCAGUAUGCUGCAGGAACUGGCUCUGAAAUGUGGGAGAUCAGGAAAUGUCAGCAACUUAGAAAAUGUUUUCCAUAGUUAUUUUGGGUGGCAGGGUUGUGCGCCUGUGAGUAUUCCUCUGAGUGGGCUCAAAAGUAGAUUUACUUCAGAACAAGAGGAUAAAGGGGAAAAAGCAAAACUCCGUGUUCUAGCUCACCCUGUGCCUGUACACGUCCUCAGAACUGUCCACCUGGGUACAGAAGAUGCACAGCUAUGAACAUUCCUGGGUUUCAUGUCUUCAUGACCAAGCUGCCCAUGCUGGAAGCCCAAGCACUGUAGUUAAUGGUCUCCAGUUCUCCGAGGCAUAUGAGUUUGCACUAUCUGGAAAGUGUCCCCAAAACUGAUGGCAUGUGGAACUGCCUGGAGGACUCAAUGCUCUGUUCUGUGCCUGAGGUAUAUUAAGCAUUAUUGGUAUAUCCACGUUGUAAAUGGCCAUUUGACCUAUAUCUGCACUGUAAAUGAACCCAGCCACAGAGGAUCUCUUCAUGCAUCCUUCUUUCCCCAACACCAUCCCUCAG